ensembl:lncRNA
CUCUGCUCACUGGGGGCUCUCUGAGCCCGGUGCCCCCCACCCCCGUUGUGAUCGGUGCCCCCCUCCCCACUCCCUGUUGCCCCCUCUGGGGGGGGCUGGGGGGGUCCACGCUUCCCCGUGGGGGGGUGGGGGGGCGAUGUAGGAAAAGGUGAGUUCCCUGGGGGGGGUCCAUACCGCCCCCCCCCCUCCAAUAGUGCCCCCCCCACGCCUUCAUCCUCCUCCUCCUCUUCCUCGGGGGGGGGCUGUGCUGCCUGCAGCUCGGGGAAGUCCGGCUCCUCGGGGCCACCUAUUAUGGGGGGGGGG